rnacentral:rRNA from 1 species
CACGUAGGGGGCAAGCGUUGUCCGGAUUUAUUGGGCGUAAAGAGCUCGUAGGCGGCUGAGUAAGUCGGGCGUGAAAUUUCAGGGCUCAACCCUGAAACGCCGCUCGAUACUGCUCUGGCUAGAGUCCGGUAGGGGAGCGUGGAAUUCCCAGUGUAGCGGUGAAAUGCGCAGAUAUUGGGAGGAACACCGGCGGCGAAGGCGGCGCUCUGGGCCGAGACUGACGCUGAGGAGCGAAAGCGUGGGGAGCAAACAGG